rnacentral:rRNA from 1 species
AGGACGAACGCUGGCGGCGUGCUUAACACAUGCAAGUCGAGCGGAAAGGCCUUUCGAGGUACUCGAGCGGCGAACGGGUGAGUAACACGUGAGUAAUCUGCCCAUCGCUUCAGGAUAGCCAUCGGAAACGGUGAUUAAUACUGGAUAUGACAUUCCUUCGCAUGUUGGGGUGUGGAAGUUUUUCGGCGGUGGAUGUGCUCGCGGCCUAUCAGCCUGUGGUGGGUAAUGGCCUACAGGCUUUGACGGUAGCCGGCUGAGAGGGUGACCGGCCACACGUGGGACUGACGACCACGGCCCAGACCUCCGUACGGGACGCGAGCAGGUGGGAAUAGUUGGACAAGUGGGACGGAAGCCUGAUCCGAGACAACCGGCCGCGGUGGAACGGGAGU